CUGUGGAGGCAAGAAGACGGCGUCACAUCCCCUGGAUCUGGAAUUCCAUGUCAUUGUGAACUGCCAAAUAUAGACACUAGGAAUCAAACUCUGGUCCUCUACAAGAUCAAUCUUUGAAAGUGAGAAGACCCACCUCUAACAUGGACUACACGUUCUGCUGGAAGCCCCACCCCUCAGUAGCCAGUCCAUUCUGUCUCUGGCACUUCUUCAGGACUCUGGUGUCUACUGAAGACCAGCUAAGACAUCCAGCCUCAUGUACUGAAUAACUACUGGAUUCCUGGACCUUCUAUACAUAAGCAGCCAUUGUUGGAUUAGCUGGACAACAACCUCUCCUGAUCACAGCUGGACCUGCCCUGGGCACACACAGGAUUGCAGCUGUGCUAGCCUGACCCUUCUUCCAAAGGCUUUCCUCCUUCAUUUGCAGAACUUGGGUCCACUGUUGCAGCAGAGGCACCAGGCAGCCACCUCCUGGAGACCUGCUUGCUCACCCAUCUAAGAGCUGGUAGCUGCAGAUGCUGAGUCAGCUUGUACCAUUUAGAGUUAAGAAGCCAGACAUUGGGAAGCCAUGGU